UCAAAAGGAAGGUGUGGGAAAGAGUG
rnacentral:piRNA from 1 species